GACGAACGCUGGCGGCGUGCCUAAAACAUGCAAGUCGAACGGUGUAGCAAUACACAGUGGCGAACGGCGGAGUAAUACAUGAACAACGUGCCCGGAAGACUGGGAUAGUCAGGGGAAACCCUGGGUAAUACCAGAUGUGGCCGUCUCUUGGCAUCUAGAGACGAUUAAAGGGUUUUUCGCUUCCGGAGCGGUUCAUGGCCUAUCAGGUAGUUGGUGAGGUAAUGGCUCACCAAGCCGACGACGGGUAGCGGGUCUGAGAGGAUGAUCCGCUCGAGUGGGACUGAGACACGGCCCACACACCUACGGGUGGCAGCAGUUGGGAAUCUUGCACAAUGGGGGAAACCCUGAUCGAGCGACGCCGCGUGGAGGAUGAAGGUCUUCGGAGUGUAAACCUCUGUUGAUCGGGACGAAUGGCGGUAUUUUUCCGACUUGACGGUACCGAUUGAGGAAGCACCGGCUAACUCCGUGCCAGCCGCCGCGGUAAC
rnacentral:rRNA from 1 species